GACGAACGCUGGCGGCGUGCUUAACACAUGCAAGUCGAACGGAAAGGCCCUGCUUUUGUGGGGUGCUCGAGUGGCGAACGGGUGAGUAACACGUGAGUAACCUGCCCUUGACUUUGGGAUAACUUCAGGAAACUGGGGCUAAUACCGGAUAGGAGCUCCUGCUGCAUGGUGGGGGUUGGAAAGUUUCGGCGGUUGGGGAUGGACUCGCGGCUUAUCAGCUUGUUGGUGGGGUAGUGGCUUACCAAGGCUUUGACGGGUAGCCGGCCUGAGAGGGUGACCGGCCACAUUGGGACUGCGAUACGGCCCAGACUCCUACGGGAGGCAGCAGUGGGGAAUAUUGCACAAUGGGCGGAAGCCUGAUGCAGCAACGCCGCGUGCGGGAUGGCGGCCUUCGGGUUGUAAACCGCUUUCGCCUGUGACGAAGCGUGAGUGACGGUAAUGGGUAAAGAAGCACCGGCUAACUACGUG
rnacentral:rRNA from 1 species